rnacentral:rRNA from 1 species
UACGGGAGGCAGCAGUGGGGAAUAUUGCACAAUGGGGGAAACCCUGAUGCAGCGACGCCGCGUGAAGGAUGAAGUAUUUCGGUAUGUAAACUUCUAUCAGCAGGGAAGAAAAUGACGGUACCUGACUAAGAAGCCCCGGCUAACUACGUGCCAGCAGCCGCGGUAAUACGUAGGGGGCAAGCGUUAUCCGGAUUUACUGGGUGUAAAGGGAGCGUAGACGGCUAUGCAAGUCUGGUGUGAAAACCCGGGGCUCAACCCCGGGACUGCAUUGGAAACUGUGUGGCUUGAGUGUCGGAGAGGUAAGUGGAAUUCCUAGUGUAGCGGUGAAAUGCGUAGAUAUUAGGAGGAACACCAGUGGCGAAGGCGGCUUACUGGACGAUGACUGACGUUGAGGCUCGAAAGCGUGGGGAGCAAACAGGAUUAGAUACCCUGGUAGUCCACGCCGUAAACGAUGUAUACUAGGUGU